rnacentral:misc_RNA from 1 species
GACGACGAUAGCCGCUCGAGGCUUUUGCACAUAGAAGCAAGAAGAUGGUGUCCGGUUCCGGUAUCUGUGCCAAGCGCGUCGUCGUUGACGCCAGGCAUCACAUGUUGGGAAGGCUCGCUUCCAUUAUCGCCAAAGAGCUUCUCAAUGGACAGAAAGUUGUGGUCGUCAGGUGCGAGGAGAUCUGCAUCUCCGGCGGAUUGGUUCGCCAAAAGAUGAAGUACAUG